CGUGCCAUUGGCUAAGCCGGUUCGGCCGACAUGCCGUGGCCGGCCGCCUCGAAGCUCCCUUCCCAACGGGCGUUGGGUUGAAUCCUUUGCAGAUGACUUAAAUACGCGACGGGGCAUUGUAAGUGGCACAGUGGCCUUGCUGCCACGAUCCACUGAGAUCCAGCCCCAUGUCGCACGGAUUCGU
rnacentral:ncRNA from 1 species